UCUGAUGGUAAAUGUGCAGGAUCGAUUGCUAAAGGUUCAGUAGAUAGCUGUGAGGAAUCAAGCGAUAUAUGUGAAGAAUCCACUAAUACAUGUGAAGAAUCCACUAUUACAUGUGAAGAAUCCACUGUUACAUGUGAAGAAUCCACUGUUACAUGCGAAGAAGCAGCAAUAGCAGCUUCAGAUUCUUCCUGCAUCAAUUUUUGCAAUCCAGGUUUUAAUUCGUUGUUACAGAACUCCUCGUACUCCCCUUU
rnacentral:lncRNA from 1 species